rnacentral:lncRNA from 1 species
CCGAUGCUAUUUGGGGGGUUAACUGGCAUAAUGCAGUUCGGGGGUUUGCAUGGACCGUUGCUAUUUGGGGGGUUACCUGGCAUAAUUUGUUUCGGGGGGUUUGCCUGGACCUAUGCUAAUUGGGGGGUGACCUGACAUAAUGUGGUUCGGUGGGUUUGCAUGGAACGAUGCGAUUCGAGGGGUUACCCGGCGCAAAGUGGUUCGGGGGGUUUGCAUGGACCGAUCCUUUUUUGGGGGUUAUCUGGCAUAAUUUGUUUCGGGGGAUUUGCCUGGACCUAUGCUAAUUGGGG